UGGGAGACUGCCGGUGAUAAACCGGAGGAAGGUGGGGAUGACGUCAAGUCCUCAUGGCCCUUAUGGGUAGGGCUUCACACGUCAUACAAUGGUCGGUACAGAGGGUUGCCAAGCCGCGAGGUGGAGCCAAUCCCUUAAAGCCGAUCGUAGUCCGGAUCGUAGUCUGCAACUCGACUACGUGAAGUCGGAAUCGCUAGUAAUCGCGGAUCAGCAUGUCGCGGUGAAUACGUUCCCGGGCCUU
rnacentral:rRNA from 1 species